rnacentral:rRNA from 1 species
GAUGAACGCUGGCGGCGUGCCUAAUACAUGCAAGUCGAGCGAAUGGAUUAAGAGCUUGCUCUUAUGAAGUUAGCGGCGGACGGGUGAGUAACACAUGGGUAACCUGCCCAUAAGACUGGGAUAACUCCGGGAAACCGGGGCUAAUACCGGAUAACAUUUUGAACCGCAUGGUUCGAAAUUGAAAGGCGGCUUCGGCUGUCACUUAUGGAUGGACCCGCGUGGCAUUAGCUAGUUGGUGAGGUAACGGCUCACCAAGGCAACGAUGCGUAGCCGACCUGAGAGGGUGAUCGGCCACACUGGGACUGAGACACGGCCCAGACUCCUACGGGAGGCAGCAGUAGGGAAUCUUCCGCAAUGGACGAAAGUCUGACGGAGCAACGCCGCGUGAGUGAUGAAGGCUUUCGGGUCGUAAAACUCUGUUGUUAGGGAAGAACAAGUGCUAGUUGAAUAAGCUGGCACCUUGACGGUACCCAACCAGAAAGCCACGGCUAACUACGUGCCAGCCGCCGCGGUAA